AUUACGGGGUGCAGGCGCGAAAACUUUACAAUGCUGGCAACAGCGAUAAGGGAACCUCGAGUGCCAGGUUACAAAUCUGGCUGUCGAGAUGCCUAAAAAGCAUUUCAUAGCAAGGGCCGGGCAAGACCGGUGCCAGCCGCCGCGGUAACACCGGUGGCUCGAGUGGUAACCGUUAUUAUUGGGUCUAAAGGGUCUGUAGCCGGCCGGAUAAGUCUCUUGAGAAAUCUGGCAGCUUAACUGUCAGGCUUUCAGGAGAUACUGUCUGGCUCGAGGCCGGGAGAGGUGAGAGGUACUUCAGGGGUAGGGGUGAAAUCUUGUAAUCCUUGAAGGACCACCAGUGGCGAAGGCGUCUCACCAGAACGGACCUGACGGCAAGGGACGAAAGCUAGGGGCACGAACCGGAUUAGAUACCCGGGCAGUCCUAGCCGUAAACGAUACUCGCUAGGUGUCGGCCACGGUGCGACCGUUGUCGGUGCCGUAGGGAAGCCGUGAAGCGAGCCACCUGGGAAGUACGGCCGCAAGGCUGAAACUUAAAGGAAUUGGCGGGGGAGCACAAU
rnacentral:rRNA from 1 species